AGGCGCGUAGCUCAGUGGGAGAGCGCUACACUGACACUGUAGAAGUCGGCGGUUCGACCCCGCCCGUGCCUACCA
rnacentral:tRNA from 1 species